rnacentral:rRNA from 1 species
UACGGAGGGAGCUAGCGUUGUUCGGAAUUACUGGGCGUAAAAGCGUGCGUAGGCGGUUAUUCAAGUCAGAGGUGAAAGCCCGGGGCUCAACCCCGGAACGGCCUUUGAAACUAGGUAACUAGAAUCUUGGAGAGGUUAGUGGAAUUCCGAGUGUAGAGGUGAAAUUCGUAGAUAUUCGGAAGAACACCAGUGGCGAAGGCGACUAACUGGACAAGUAUUGACGCUGAGGUACGAAAGCGUGGGGAGCAAACAGG